GUGGGGAAUUUUGGACAAUGGGCGCAAGCCUGAUCCAGCAAUGCCGCGUGCAGGAAGAAGGCCUUCGGGUUGUAAACUGCUUUUGUACGGAACGAAACGGUUCUCUCUAAUACAGGGGGCUAAUGACGGUACCGUAAGAAUAAGCACCGGCUAACUACGUGCCAGCAGCCGCGGUAAUACGUAGGGUGCAAGCGUUAAUCGGAAUUACUGGGCGUAAAGCGUGCGCAGGCGGUUUUGUAAGACAGAGGUGAAAUCCCCGGGCUCAACCUGGGAACUGCCUUUGUGACUGCAAGGCUGGAGUGCGGCAGAGGGGGAUGGAAUUCCGCGUGUAGCAGUGAAAUGCGUAGAUAUGCGGAGGAACACCGAUGGCGAAGGCAAUCCCCUGGGCCUGCACUGACGCUCAUGCACGAAAGCGUGGGGAGCAAACAGGAUUAGAAACCCCGGUAGUCC
rnacentral:rRNA from 1 species